rnacentral:rRNA from 1 species
CAGUGCCGCGGGAAUACGUAGGUGGCAAGCGUUGUCCGGAAUUAUUGGGCGUAAAGGGCUCGCAGGCGGUUUCUUAAGUCUGAUGUGAAAGCCCCCGGCUCAACCGGGGAGGGUCAUUGGAAACUGGGAAACUUGAGUGCAGAAGAGGAGAGUGGAAUUCCACGUGUAGCGGUGAAAUGCGUAGAGAUGUGGAGGAACACCAGUGGCGAAGGCGACUCUCUGGUCUGUAACUGACGCUGAGGAGCGAAAGCGUGGGGAGCGAACAGGAUUAGAUACCCGCGUAGUCCCUGUCUCUUAUACA